rnacentral:rRNA from 1 species
AUUGAACGCUGGCGGCAGGCUUAACACAUGCAAGUCGAGCGGGGUGAUGGUGCUUGCACUAUCACUUAGCGGCGGACGGGUGAGUAAUGCUUAGGAAUCUGCCUAUUAGUGGGGGACAACAUCUCGAAAGGGAUGCUAAUACCGCAUACGUCCUACGGGAGAAAGCAGGGGAUCACUUGUGACCUUGCGUGAAUAGAUGAGCCUAAGUCGGAUUAGCUAGUUGGUGGGGUAAAGGCCUACCAAGGUGACGAUCUGUAGCGGGUCUGAGAGGAUGAUCCGCCACACUGGGACUGAGACACGGCCCAGACUCCUACGGGAGGCAGCAGUGGGGAAUAUUGGACAAUGGGGGGAACCCUGAUCCAGCCAUGCCGCGUGUGUGAAGAAGGCCUUAUGGUUGUAAAGCACUUUAAGCGAGGAGGAGGCUCUUUUGGUUAAUACCCAAGAUGAGUGGACGUUACUCGCAGAAUAAGCACCGGCUAACUCUGUGCCAGCCGCUGCCGUAA